UCCCACAUGUUCUCCAUAGGAGUCAGUUUGACUCUGCCAACUCUGCCAACUCUCAGAGUAACAACCUGUAUGUGUCCAUGAAGAAUCUACCAUACAUAUGUAUAUACUCUGUGCCUACCUGGAACAUGAAUAAACAUCAUUAAACGAAUACCUGCCUACCGUGUCCUUAUCGUCAUCCCCCAGUUGAUAGUCAAACUCCUAAAUCCUGAACCACCCAUCUACCUCAUCCUUCACAUGUUCCUUCACAGUAACGUAAGAGUCGUGAGAGGGGCGAGCAGAGGAUUGGAGUGGGGCUGAUGGUGGUGGUAGAAGUGAGUAAUGGCGAAGAGCAAAGGGAGGGCAUUCUCAUCAUUUCUGCCGCUGCACCUGCAAUCAGCACCUAUGAGACUGAUCGAGCUAAACAUCAAUUAAUGCCACGAUAUCCUCACGGAGACCCAGCUCGCUUUCACCUGGACUCUCAGCAGCAGCCUUCUGAUUACAGUAAUGACUGUGUUCGACCAAGAGACACUGAUGGGAGAUGGUGUUUUAGUGCAGUACUUUGCUCUCCGUGUGUUCAACUUGUGUAGUACGAAGGU